rnacentral:tRNA from 1 species
CUCUUAUUAGCUUAAUGGUAAAGCAUAAUACUUCUAAUAUUUGGUUUCAAGUUCAAGUCUUGGAUAAGAGC